rnacentral:tRNA from 1 species
AGUUGUUUGGUCUAGCUUUAAGAUGUUGGGCCUGCAUCCCAAUUGAAGUGCCUGGGUUCAAGUCCUAGUUCCACUA